rnacentral:misc_RNA from 1 species
GAUGAAGAACGUAGCGAAAUGCGAUACGUAAUGUGAAUUGCAGAAUUCAGUGAAUCAUCGAGUCUUUGAACGCACAUUGCGCCCCCUGGUAUUCCGGGGGGCAUGCCUGUCCGAGCGCCAUUGCUGCCCUCAAGCACGGCUUGUGUGUUGGGCCUCCGUCCUCCUCCCGGGGGACGGGCCCGAAAGGCAGCGGCGGCACCGCGUCCGGUCCUCGAGCGUAUGGGGCUUCGUCACCCGCUCUUGUAGGCCCGGCCGGCGCUUGCCGACACAUCAAUCUUUUUUCCAGGUUGACCUCGGAUCAGGUAGGGAUACCCGCUGAACUUAAGCAUAUCAAUAAGCGGAGGA